rnacentral:rRNA from 1 species
CAGCAGCCGCGGUAAUACGUAGGUGGCAAGCGUUGUCCGGAUUUAUUGGGCGUAAAGCGAGCGCAGGCGGUUUCUUAAGUCUGAUGUGAAAGCCCCCGGCUCAACCGGGGAGGGUUAUUGGAAACUGGGAAACUUGAGUGCAGAAGAGGAGAGUGGAAUUCCAUGUGUAGCGGUGAAAUGCGUAGAUAUAUGGAGGAACACCAGUGGCGAAGGCGGCUCUCUGGUCUGUAACUGACGCUGAGGCUCGAAAGCGUGGGGAGCAAACAGGAUUAGAUACCCCGGUAGUCCCUGUCUCUUAUAC